rnacentral:lncRNA from 1 species
AAGGCUCAUGGGCCGAAUCUUACCAAAAUAACUCCAUGUGGAACUAAGCAAGUCUAGAAUAAAUUCUCCAGAUUAAUAAUACAAAGAAAUAUACACAUUUAUUUGAAAGAAAGUGAUUAAAGCGAAACAAGGUUGCAGAGAAAAGAAUGCAAAUAAUUAAAGAGAAACACUUGGGACAUGGAACAACAAGAAUGUAGCUCGAAGGGGGGGAGAAAAGUACCCUGCAACAAAAACCAAGACGAUACAAGUUUAGAAUGCGUCGAGCUUUAUAGUUAAAACCUUAUCGAGAUACCUGAUCUUUUAGAGAAAAACUACAAUUGAAGCAACAGAAUUGGGAAUUGAGAAUGAGAUUGGUGCAAGCAUUACCCGUGUGGAGACUAGAUUAGUUAGUCAUCAUCAAUAGUUUUGGAUGAUAAUUGAAGGGACAUGGCUGACUUUGUGGAAAUCCUCUCCUGAUGCCGAUACCCUCUUCCCCAUUUCCGGCAUUUCAAUGAUCGUCAGUUCCUGAAGAGUGGAAAUGAGAUUCAAUCCAUCUGGAAGCAUCUCCAGAUUAGAACACUCAUCUAUUUGUAAAUGAGAGAGAAGGGGCAUGGCUCCUGCCUCCACUCUCCACUCCCUCAACUUUGGUAAUCGACAUAGAUAGAGCUUCUUGAGGUGAGGAAAACUGUUUGAUGAACACGUCAUCUCCUCCCCCACAAAUGAUUUCGUCCAUAAAUACAAAUCUAUCAAGCAAGGAAGCUUCCCCAGUAUCCCCAUUGGAUCAUCCUCAAUCUCACAUUCAUACAGCCACAAAAACGUAAGUCUUGAGCUCAUCAUGAAGUCACUCCCGCACUCUGCCAGCGCCUUCCCUAACUUAACGUGAAUCCACAAGGAAAGAAGAUUGGGACAUGUGAUUACCUUCUUUAGCGUUAACACUCCCUUAUUUGUUCCUAACUCGCAACCCUCUUUGAUUUCAACCGAACUAGCCAGUAACUUUUCCAUGAGAGCAAUGGCGUCGAUGUUGGCUGACAAGCUUUCAUUGUCGUGUAUUUUUGUUUGGAAACUUCGCAGAUUCUUCAUUCUGUUCAUACAUUUUAAAUCAUGCACUCUACUAUCCAAAUUCAACAGGGUCUCCAACUCAAUCACUCCCUCAUCCAAUGUCAAUCGAUAACUUCCAAUUUUUUCCUCAUCAUAAUCGGGAAGAAGCAAUUGCUUUAAACGUACCAUCUCAUUAAAAACAUUUGGAACUUCAACAUUCUUCGAAAGACCUAAAUCAAGGGUAUCCAUGUAUACCAAAUUCCUUAUGGACGAUGGUAGCGUAUCAAAUUCACAUCUUACUAAACACAAACGUCUAAGGUGAACAAGACUAGUGAUUCCUUUCGAUAACUUUCUUCCUUCAAAUUUGAAUCCCACCAUACCUAGAUCUCUCAGCAAUUUGAAUUUCUGAAAAUCAACGAUACCUUGCGGGGGAAACUCAACAACACCCAAAUUUAUGUGACUGAACAUUUGAAGAGACCUUAAAUGUUCACUACUAUCUUCUCCCCAAGUGAGUGUAAGCUCGUCAGGUUCCACUUGAACUUCCUUCCUGAAAUGUAAAGUCAAAUGCCGUAUUUUCCUAUGCGAGGAAACUUUCCCACUUUGAUACUCCAAACUCUGCGUUCCAAAAUCCUCACUUCUCCCCAAUUUCAAACAUAGUUCUCUUACUACAUCAUGAAGUUUGCAUGUCUCGUAUUUUCUUCCCGGUCUGACACCAUCAUAAAUUUCGACUUGGACGAUGGACCUGGAGGCCAACUCACCCAAGUAGAGCUCUGCAAUUUCCUUCAAAGUUUUGUCCUUGUCUCCAAUAGAAAUCAUGCCUUGUGCUCUCCACAUCAAAUAUAGAUCGUCAACAUCUAUAUCUUCAUCCUCUUGAAAUAUACCCAUAUAGAGAAAGCAAGACUUCAAAUAAUAGGGUAGACUUUCAUAGCUUAAAUUUAGCACUCCAUCAAUCUCACUUUCACCUCUAUAUAUGAAUUCUNAGAAAAUGUUAAAAAUAUUUUCACACCCCUACCAUAGGAUAAUAAUCAAAUAUUAAAGAGAAAAUGGGUGAAAAUGAAUUGCUCGAAAAAAUAUUUGACCCUCCUCGGAAAAAAUUUCCACCAUACUAAACAUGUGAAAAUGGUAAAAAAUGAGUGAAAAUAUAUUUUCUCUCUCAUUUUCCAUCAAUGUAAACGUAGCUUUAGUACUAUGUUUACAGAAGUAUAUUUUCUGGGAUGUGUCAUAUAAACAUCGAGUACUGAUACAAUAUUUGGGGCAUUUUCGUUAAUCUUUUGGACCUUAACUCUCUCAUUCCAUUGCUCAAAUAAUGGUGAAGGUAUAUGCUGAAUUGGCAUUAUUAAGAAUUUUAUGUUUCGUUUUACUAUCAGUCUUGAGAAACACUUAAUUUGUUGACAUGGAAAAUUGAGUCUAUUGUUCGCCCUCUCUCUCUUCAACUGACCAUUUCCCUUGUUUUUUUCCUGUCUAAAUUUAUAGAUUGAGUUUAAAAUUUUGAAACGUUAAUUACAAACAAUUAAUUGAAUUCAAACACAACAGGAAUUUGAAUACAAUUCCCUAUAUGUUGACCGGAAAAGAGUCCAACUAAAGCAGCUUCAAAUCCUUACAAAAAUCAACAAUUCAAGAACUCCUUAAUGAUAGUGUAGUGCUUUAUUUUAUCAAUGAUUUGACAUAUUUUAUUAUAGAUUAUAUUUUUAAUUACGCUUUUCGUUUGUAUAUAGAAUAAAAUACUCUAAACUGGCUAGUGUAGUGCUCUCGUGAGCAACUAGCAAUAUUUCCUUAAUGAUAGUGUAGUGCUUUAUUUUAUCAAUGAUUUUGACAUAUUUUACUAUUAUUUAUGAAUGAACACUUUAUUCACUUUACUAUUAUUUAUGAAUGAACACUUUAUUCACUUGGUAUCCUCUAUUUCGAUUUUUUUUUUGUGUUCCACUAUUAAUUUUUUAAAAUUAUUCUUCAUUUAAAAAAAAAUUACAAUAAAGUAUGAUUUUUACAAUUAAUAUAAUUAAACUUUAUAGUUAAAAAUAAUAAUUAAAAAAAAAUCAAUUCUUUGCAAUAAAAGUUAAUUAGGAUUCCCUAUAUAAUAUUUAUUUUAUUUUAUAAUAAAUAAUAUUAAAUUAGUAAAACCAAAAUUUGGUAAAAGUUCAUGUAAUUAAACGCAAUUACGUUUUUUUUUUUAUGAAAUUUCUUUACAAGUAAUACAAACCACACACACCCCACCUAUGGUGGUUAUUGUGGCCGAGAGUACUCGAACCUGUGACCUUUUGGACAACAGGCAACCACCCCAUCCACUAGGCCAUACCAAGGGGACCGCAAUUACGUUUAAUUAAACGGAAAAGAGGCCAACCAAAGCAGCUGGUGCAGCUUAAUUUCCUUCAACAGUAUCUUCAACCUAAGCCAAUUUUUCUAAUUUUGCUUGCAUAGUACAGUAUAUUCGUAUAGUUAUAUUAAGCAACACAGUUUCAAUUUAUUGGAUUCUAAACAACCAAGCAACAAAAAUCACAAUACAAGAACAGAAAUAAAGCUUAAAUCUGCAGAAGUUACAAGCAAAGGCUCAUGGGCCGAAUCUUACCAAAAUAACUCCAUGUGGAACUAAGCAAGUCUAGAAUAAAUUCUCCAGAUUAAUUAAUAAUACAAGGAAUGGAAUAUAUAUGGCCACCACGCCCAUGUACAAAAGAAAUAUACACAUUUAUUUGAAAGAAAGUGAUUAAAGCGAGACAAGGUUGCAGAGAAAAGAAUGCAAAUAAUUAAAGAGAAACACUUGGGACAUGGAACAACAAGACUGUAGGUCGA